rnacentral:rRNA from 1 species
UACGUAGGGUGCAAGCGUUAAUCGGAAUCACUGGGCGUAAAGCGCACGUAGGCGGAUUUAUAAGUCAGGGGUGAAAUCCCGGGGCUCAACCUCGGAACUGCCUUUGAUACUGUGAAUCUUGAGUCCGAUAGAGGUGGGUGGAAUUCCUAGUGUAGAGGUGAAAUUCGUAGAUAUUAGGAAGAACACCGGUGGCGAAGGCGGCCCACUGGAUCGGUACUGACGCUGAGGUGCGAAAGCGUGGGGAGCAAACAGG